GGCAUUCAUAUCACGUUGAAAUACCAGUUCCCCUACGAUCACCAAAGUUAAACAACGUCGAGCCUCGUCAGUACAUAGAUGGGUGACCUCUUUGGAAUCCUGAGU